CACUGCUUCUGCCCUUCUCCUUCACACAGGCUGGAGUCAAUGAGAGCUCUUGCAGUCCUGAACCCUGUCCCAGCAUCCAGACACGCUCCAGGGCGGCUGCCAAAAGGGAUGGAGAACAGAAGGAAAAAGGUGAUGGGAAACAGAAGAACCCAAGAUAUUUAAAAGCAGGAAG
rnacentral:lncRNA from 14 species